AAAGAUUAAGCCAUGCAUGUCUAAGUAUAAGCAAUUUAUACUGUGAAACUGCGAAUGGCUCAUUAAAUCAGUUAUAAUUUAUUUGAUAAUACCUUACUACUUGGAUAACCGUGGUAAUUCUAGUGCUAAUACAUGCUUUAAGGCCCGACUUCUGGAAGGGCUGUAUUUAUUAGAUUAAAAACCAAUCGUAGCAAUACGUUUACAGGUGAAUCAUGAUAACUUUUCGAAUCGCAUAGCUUUGCUGGCGAUGGUUCAAUCAAAUUUCUGCCCUAUCACCUUUCGAUGGUAGUAUAGAGGACUACCAUGGGCGCAACGGGUAACGGAGAAUUAGGGUUCGAUUCCGGAGAGGGAGCCUGAGAAACGGCUACCACAUCCAAGGAAGGCAGCAGGCGCGCAAAUUACCCAAUCCCGAUACGGGGAGGUAGUGACAAUAAAUAACAAUACAGAGCUUUUUAGUUUUGUAAUUGUAAUGAGAACAAUUUAAACCUCUUAACGAGAACCAAUUGGAGGGCAAGUCUGGUGACUGUUGACGCCAGAAAUAGGGUCCUUCCCUGAUGGCCAGCAGCCGCGGUAAUUCCAGCUCCAAUAGCGUAUAUUAAAGUUGUUGCAGUUAAAACGCUCGUAGUUGAACUUUGGUCUUGGCUGGGCGGUCUUUGCGAAUGCUUAGUACUUCUCUGGCUGAGACUUUCCUUCUGGCGAACUAUUGUGCUAUUUAUUUAGUGCGAUAGGGAACCAGGACUUUUACUUUGAAAAAAUUAGAGUGUUUAAAGCAGGCGUCUGCCCGUAUACAUUAGCAUGGAAUAAUAAAAUAGGACUUUGGUUUUAUUUUGUUGGUUUUCGAAACCGAAGUAAUGAUUAAUAGGGAUAGUUGGGGGCGUUACUAUUUAGGAGUCAGAGGUGAAAUUCUUGGAUUUCCUAAAGAGUAUCUACUGCGAAGGCAUUCGCCAAGGAUGUUUUCAUUAAUCAAGAACGAAAGUUGGGGGAUCGAAGACGAUCAGAUACCGUCGUAGUCUCAACAGUAAACUAUGCCGACUUGGGAUCGGACAAUGUUCAAUAUUGACUUGUUCGGCACCACAUGAGAAAUCAAAGUUUUAGGU
rnacentral:rRNA from 1 species